CUAUGUAACAUGGUCCACUAAC
rnacentral:ncRNA from 2 species